rnacentral:rRNA from 1 species
AUGCUUUGCGCCUGCUCCGUUGUUAUGCUACUGUGGAACGAUGAGCCAUGUGGCCAGGCUCAUCGCCACCUCACAUGUUAUCGCCGUUGUACCCACCUGACUCCCUUCCGCCUCGAGGCAAGGCAGUCUUGCUCCUUCGACGCUUCAACAACAGUUCACCGAUUAGUUUACCAGCCGGCGGCAGCAUCAGUGAUCCACUGCACAGCAGCAUGCAGCACGAGCGGAGAAGGCAGUGAGAGAAGGAGAAGCACCAGCAGCCAACAACCAACAGCCAACACCUGUCACCUGGAGUGGAGGCCUGGAGGGCCCUCACUGCAGAGGGCGGCGAGAGUUGGCAAGACCGGCGACCAGCGGUUGGCAGCAGUGAGAAGCGAGUGA